AAAUAACCAGCUGAGGGGGGUUGAGCUGCUCUUCAACGAGACCAUCAAUGUUAGUGUGAAAAGUGGGUCAGUGUUACUUGUUGUCCUAGAGGAAGCACAGCGCAAAAAUCCUAUGUUCAAAUUUGAAACCACAAUGACAUCUUGGGGCCUUGUCGUCUCUUCUAUCAACAAUAUCGCUGAAAAUGUUAAUCACAAGACAUACUGGCAGUUUCUUAGUGGUGUAACACCUUUGAAUGAAGGUGAGGGAAGAAAAGACAUAGGCGUUAUCUUCCAUAGUCUGAAGGCUACAUUCCUUAAUUAUUUUUUCAUUUAAUUUAUUCAUUCCUUCACUUAAUUAAUAAUUAUGAGAUCAUAUGUGUAUAUACAAUAAUUCUAUAAACAGUGAUUG
rnacentral:sRNA from 1 species